AUUGAACGCUGGCGGCAGGCCUAACACAUGCAAGUCGAGCGCGAGGCGGGCGGGUGAGAAUUGUAUGGGGGCUGCCCGUUAUAGGGGGGUAACAAUUGGAAACGGUGGCUAAUACCCCAUACGGCCGGAGAACCCAUAUGGGGUUAGUUAGUGGGUAGGGGAAGGGCUUACCUAGGCGACGAUCCCUAGCUGGGCUGAGAGGAUGAUCAGCCACACUGGAACGGAGACACGGCCCAGACUCCUACGGAGGCAGCAGUGGGGAAUAUUGCACAAUGGGCGCAAGCCUGAUGCAGCCAUGCCGCGUGUAUGAAGAAGGCCCUAGGGUUGUAAAGUACUUUCAGUCGGGAGGCGUUACCGACAGAAGAAGCACCGGCUAACUCCGUGCCAGCAGCCGCGGUAAUAC
rnacentral:rRNA from 1 species